rnacentral:rRNA from 1 species
GACCAGAGUGGACGAACCUCUGGUGUACCGGUUGUGACGCCAGUCGCAUCGCCGGGUAGCUAUGUUCGGAAGGGAUAACCGCUGAAAGCAUCUAAGCGGGAAGCCUACCUCAAGAUAAGAUUUCCCCAGGAAUUUAUUCCUCUAAAGAGCCGUUCGAGACUAGGACGUUGAUAGGUUGGGUGUGGAAGCAUAGUGAUAUGUGAAGCUGACCAAUACUAAUUGCUCGUGAGGCUUGACUAUACAACACCCAAACAGUUG